UGGGGCGUCGCCAAGUGGUAAGGCUACGGGCUUUGAACCCGUCAGACGGAGGUUCGAUUCCUUCCGUCCCA
rnacentral:tRNA from 1 species